rnacentral:tRNA from 1 species
GGGCGGGUAGUUCAGUGGCAGAACGUCUCGUUUACACCGAGAAGGUCAGAGGUUCGAUCCCUCUCCCGCCCA